AUUGAACGCUGGCGGCAUGCCUUACACAUGCAAGUCGAACGGCAGCACGGGAGCAAUCCUGGUGGCGAGUGGCGAACGGGUGAGUAAUAUAUCGGAACGUGCCCAGUGAUGGGGGAUAGCCCGGCGAAAGCCGGAUUAAUACCGCAUACGACCUACGGGUGAAAGCAGGGGAUCGCAAGACCUUGCGUCAUUGGAGCGGCCGAUAUCAGAUUAGCUUGNGGUAGGGGUAAAAGCCUACCAAGGCGACGAUCUGUAGCUGGUCUGAGAGGACGACCAGCCACACUGGGACUGAGA
rnacentral:rRNA from 1 species